rnacentral:rRNA from 1 species
UACGGAGGGUGCGAGCGUUAAUCGGAUUUACUGGGCGUAAAGGGCGCGCAGGCGGCGCAUUUUGUCAGGCGUGAAAGCCCCGGGCUCAACCUGGGAACUGCAUUCAAAACUGACAAGCUAGAGUAUGGUAGAGGGUGGUGGAAUUUCCUGUGUAGCGGUGAAAUGCGUAGAUAUAGGAAGGAACACCAGUGGCGAAGGCAGCCUUCUGGGCCAACACUGACGCUCAUGCACGAAAGCGUGGGGAGCAAACAGG